rnacentral:rRNA from 1 species
AGAGUCUGAUCCUGGCUCAGAUUGAACGCUGGCGGCAGGCCUAACACAUGCAAGUCGAGCGGUAGAGAGAAGCUUGCUUCUCUUGAGAGCGGCGGACGGGUGAGUAAUGCCUAGGAAUCUGCCUGGUAGUGGGGGAUAACGUUCGGAAACGGACGCUAAUACCGCAUACGUCCUACGGGAGGAAGCAGGGGACCUUCGGGCCUUGCGCUAUCAGAUGAGCCUAGGUCGGAUUAGCUAGUUGGUGAGGUAAUGGCUCACCAAGGCGACGAUCCGUAACUGGUCUGAGAGGAUGAUCAGUCACACUGGAACUGAGACACGGUCCAGACUCCUACGGGAGGCAGCAGUGGGGAAUAUUGGACAAUGGGCGAAAGCCUGAUCCAGCCAUGCCGCGUGUGUGAAGAAGGUCUUCGGAUUGUAAAGCACUUUAAGUUGGGAGGAAGGGCAGUUACCUAAUACGUGAUUGUUUUGACGUUACCGACAGAAUAAGCACCGGCUAACUCUGUGCCAGCAGCCGCGGUAAU